UACGUAGGUGGCGAGCGUUGUCCGGAUUUACUGGGCGUAAAGAGCGCGCAGGCGGUCGUUCAAGUCGCGUGUGAAAGCCCCCGGCUCAACUGGGGAGGGUCACGCGAUACUGAUCGACUCGAAGGCAGGAGAGGGAAGUGGAAUUCCCGGUGUAGUGGUGAAAUGCGUAGAUAUCGGGAGGAACACCAGUGGCGAAGGCGACUUCCUGGCCUGUUCUUGACGCUGAGGCGCGAAAGCCAGGGGAUCAAACGGG
rnacentral:rRNA from 1 species